GAAGGUAUCCCAUGUAUAAGAGUUAAGAGGCACCUGACCAGUAGGGGGCGGUGGCCACACUGCUGCUUCAAACGUAGACUACAAGGAGAAGAAGGGGAAGAAGGAAAGAAGCGUGGGAGGAGAGGGUCUGGCUGCAGUCUCUGGGAUGGCAAAACCGUCAAAAACGACAUGGAUAACUUGUCUGCUGAUGGUCUGCAAUGCAUCAUGGCUGAAUGCAGAGUGUAACGGAACCCUGCACAGUGAUGGCACCACCAAGUUUAACUUUUCGUCCAGACUGACAGACAUAAUGCGUGACCAAUCUUGCGAUAGCAGGGUGGACAUCAAUGGUAAUGUGACAAUAAUUUUAACGGAGAAACCAGAGUUUAGACCACCAGUCCUGAGUGCUACAAUGGACGCUUUUGUUCUGCCUAUGUGCCUUGGUUCCGUCGCUUUGACCGUCAGCUGCCCAGCGAAUGGGGUCCUGGAGAAAAUAUACUGCCGUUGUAACAAUGCUACAUAUCUGAACCCAGAGAACAGCACCCAUGGUAACAAUGCCACCAAUGUGGACCCAGAUGACUACCGCCCUGGUGCCAGACUUAGGUGGUUGGUCUUUAUUCCGGUCAUUGUCUUUCUCUGUGUUGGAGGUUUCCUAUGUUGGAAUCCUUGGAAGCUGAACAGGUCCAGAGAGAAGGAUGCUAUGCAGAUUCAGAAUCUCUGAAUGUAUCAAUUUAUAUAUAUAUAUAUAUAUAUACACACACACACACACACACACACACACAUUAUAAUCUAACUACACCAGUGGUGCAUGGAGCAAUUCUGGUGGAGUUUUAUUUUGUAAUAUAGUAUAAACAUACCGGCUUCCUAUGGAUACUAAAAACCUAGAAGAGUCAUGGAAUUUUUAAAGGGAAUUUUCCAGGCCUCAAAGUUUUGUAAUACGAAACAUACAUAUAAAGUUAUGGAAAGUCACUGAAAUGAAUGUGUAACAUAGUACACAGUUCCUGUAAGACUGCGCGAGAAACGUUUUUCUUUGUUUACAGCUGCAACAUUUAAAACUAGCGCAGGUACUUUCACAUUUGUACUGAGAUUUCAGAGAACACAGGCUCAUGACAUUUUGCCUUAGAGUAAUUGGAAGAUCAUGGAAAUUCUUUUCUAAAAAUAUGUAAGAACCCUGUCAGUAUCAAAUUUAAGUUCAUUUGUGUAUGUUUGAGAACAGCUUUAUUUUAAUAGAAUUAUAUUAUAUUAAACAUUGUUAUAUAUUUUAUUGUUAUAUUACAGUGGUGAACACUAUAAUAUAACACUAUUUCAUAUAAUAUAAUACGAUAUUAUGUAUUAUAUUACUACAUUAUGUAAAUGCUUAUUUAUUGUUAAUUGCAUUGCAAUUCAGUGCAGAACAUAAUUGAUUGUCACAAUGAUGUGGUGAUUUUCUGGCACUAGGAAUAAAAAUUAUAGUUAAAAAGUAGUGCUGACUGCU
rnacentral:lncRNA from 1 species